UAUUUACAUAUCUUUGCUUUCCAAAUUUUUAUAUCAACAGCUAAAAUCAUGGAGCCAAGCAUGGAAAUUCUGAUAAAUUCUAUUUUUUUAUCUAAAAUUCAGUACUCCCUAAUGCUGGCAUAAACACGGAAAGAAUGGAUAAUCAGGGGGUGCUGGUGCCUUCAAAAUUCAAAAUCACUCUUCAGAAUAUCUCGAUUUCAAGAACUUCUCAGUUAUUCGAUGACUUGAUUCUCAAUUUUUGUCAAGAAACAGAAUAAAAACGCCUUGCUAGGGUUUUUGGUGCUUCGUCACUUGCUCUUUCAGCCGCUUCAUCUCUCCACUCUCUCUCUACAAAUCAGUUGGCGCCUCCCCAUCUUCCAAGCCUGCUAAAUCUGGCGGGGGCAAACAGAAAAAGACCCUAAAUGGAGUGAGAGUGUUCCAAGCAUCAGUACCAUCCUUGAUUCUCAUAGCUCGAAGGCCAGUACAUUUAUUACAAAGAGGACAGUGGCUGAUGAAUAUCAUCAAGAGCUCAGCGGCAUCACACAAUAUAAAAUAACUGAGGAAAAGCAUGUUUCUAAAACAUGCCAGACAAGCGAAGCGGAAGGACAUGGUUCAUCUAAUACACAAGGUAUUUAUCAUGACAUACAGAUUAUUCAGUCUCACGUUUUCAAUAAGAUUCAGUGGUGAAAUAUAAGAGCUAGAUAUCCAGGGCAUUAGUUCAGCAAGGAGGCUCCAAAUAAGGAAGUUUUUCUAAAUCUUACGCAAGACGAGGUAUGCAAGGAAAACAUGGGACUCAAAAAUCUGGACUACAAUACUGAAUGACAAUUUCAGUUGGGACCCUGAUUUAGGUAUAUGGGUAUUGCUGACUUGAAAUUGUGGAUUGGGUUUGGUGGUUAUUUCUUAUGGGAUCUUGGCUAAGAAAUCUGAUCAUUGGCCAGUCAACAGAGGUUAUGUCAACAGACUCAACAUACAUUAUUAUUUCGAAUCUUACCUUUCUUAAUUCAACUUUCUGGAACAUCCAUUGUUUAUUGUCGGUAACAUACAUUUUUCUUAUUUAAUUCUUACCCUUUUGUUAUUAAUAUGUUCAGAAUUGAGGUCUUGCGUAUGUGUAGAGAGUUGAUGAUAUUUUUUCUAUUUGAACAUCAAGCUUAUUAUCCACAAUCUGUAACCCAUGACUAAUUUUCUUCCAUAGCUUUUUAGACUACAUGAAUAUAUAUUCCUUUAGUAGUUCUGGUGUAACAGAUUAGAUUUACCUAAGACAUAGAUUCAGUUGCAUAUGAAAAUUUUUGCGUGUACAAGAAAAUUGGUUCAACUUUUAUCAAGUGCUCUCAUUAUAGAUUAAUUUAUGUUGUGAUUAAUAUGCUAAAAAUGCUAGACUGAGGCACUGAUUAAACUUUUAUGAUUUUCUUUAGCUAUUAUCAUAUUUACAUGGAGGCACUGACUGCUUUAAGUUUUUGUACUUAUCUAGGUAAUUACAUAUUACAAGUUUGGAAUCAUGGUUCUACAUUCUAGCCUUGCCUCCAUCCUUUACAAGUUUGGAAUCAAUGACUUGAGGAUAUCAUUCAAAAUAUAUUAAUUGUUUGAUAAGCCAACCUAUUAUAUGCUUUUCUCUGAAGCUCCCAAGUUCAAGCUUAUCAUUCCUUCCAUCCUUUCUGAUUGUUUGAGGGUAAAAAGGUCCUUAAUAACAUAUUUUUCUACCAAUCUGCAACUUCUCUAAAUUGUCGGUGUGUUCAUUUAUAUUUUUCAAUUUCAUUUUAUUCUUUUUUUUUAUAAAUUCCGCUUAUCUUUAUCCUAUUUUCAGGAAUAGGAUCCCAACUCAGAGCAGCUGGGCUAUUUGAAGAGAAGAACCUUUACGCGAUAAUGGCAGUGGCUUUUAUGGAGAUCAGUUCGGAGGCACACACCUACUCUUGGCUGGCAAUAUAUUAUCGUUGUUUUAUCAUCAGAGAUGUAUAUAGUUCUCAGGAUGUUGUUCUUGCACUGACACAUCAUCUAAUAAAAAAUGUGAAGUUUCCGACACCCCUAUGCAAUUUGGAAUUACGCAGUCAAGUAAUGCCAACGCUGAUCAUCAAGGUUGUCAUUCAGUGAUAACUCAACCUGAUGCUCCAGGUCUAAUAUUCAAAAAUAAAAUCAGCGAAGAUUAUGUAUUCAGGGGGCUGUGCAUGGCAUUUGGAAAAGAAGAUGGUAAGAUCAUUAAGGUGGAUGGUAAUAAUAAGUGUGGUGUGAUCUUAACAGGAAGAUAGUGAAGAAUUUCAUGAUUUGUAGGAUUCCGACUCAAUAUCAUUCAUUUUUAUACACUGAGAGUCUCGCCCACUGGGAAUAAGCAGCUGCCGGCAUACUGAGCCGCAAGUUAGUUGAGUUUUGCAUCUUCGGUAUAGAAAACUUUCCAAGGACUCUACUCAUGUACCUGUAAAACUCUCCUUCAACUCAGUCUGUAUAUUUUCCAUCUCUCAUAUGCACCUCUAAGCAAUUCCGCAAAACAAUAAUCAACCACAAUUUCCAGCAUGCUGCCCUUGACGACCUAUAGGAACCCGGCCCGCUCAAUUCUAGUGAUCUUGAUGAUUUAUUCAAUACUAGAGCUGCUUCUGCUUCUCCAUUUCUCCCAAAUGACCCAGUUCUUGAUAUCAUUGACCAGAAUGUUCUAGGCCGUGAUCCAGGGAAGCCAACUCCUGGGGGUUAGUGUCUAGGUGAGUCUGAAGAUGACAUUUGUACUGAAUGGGGCGAUGCUGAAGUUUUGAGACCAGGUCCAGGAGCAAAAAAACUUGAGAGAAGUAUGGUUCAAUUAUUAGCAGACGGACUGUACAAAUCUCAUCAAUGUGUGAUUGAAUGAAUGGCUUCCUCCGGAACUACAAGAUUAGAUAAAUUAUAAAAGAAGAAAAUGCUUGAUUGGUACUGCUGAAAAUUUUGUCAUAUAGUUUGGCUAAUUCUUUGUAAAACCAAGCAAUAACUUGGUGUUGUAAAUGCAUUUACUAAUCGUCUGAUCCAAAGAAUCCUGAGAUUGGUCGAUAACUUGACAUAUAUAAAAAAAAGAAUAAGCAGCUACAAUAGAAGUCAUAAACAGACAAGUAGUUUUCUCCA